rnacentral:rRNA from 1 species
AGCAGCCGCGGUAAUUCCAGCUCCAAUAGCGUAUAUUAAAGUUGUUGCAGUUAAAAAGCUCGUAGUUGAAUUUCGGGGUUAGUAGAUUGGUCAUGCCUCUGGUAUGCACUGGUCUCACUGAUUCCUCCCUCCUGAUGAGCCGUAAUGCCAUUAAUUUGGUGUUGCGGGGAAUUUGGACUGUUACUUUGAAAAAAUUAGAGUGUUUAAAGCAAGCUAACGCUUGAAUACAUUAGCAUGGAAUAAUGAAAUAGGACGUUCGAUCCUAUUUUGUUGGUUUCUAGGAUUGACGUAAUGAUUAAUAGGGAUAGUUGGGGGCAUUAGUAUUCAAUUGUCAGAGGUGAAAUUCUUGGAUUUAUUGAAGACUAACUACUGCGAAAGCAUUUGCCAAGGAUGUUUUCAUUAAUCAAGAACGAAAGUUAGGGGAUCGAAGACGAUCAGAUACCGUCGUAGUCUUAACCAUAAACUAUGCCGACUAGGGAUCGGAUGAUGUUAAUUUUUUAAUGACUCAUUCGGCGCCUUACG